UAAACCAUAAGCUUCCGGUGUAAUGUCAUCGCGAAAAAAGAGGCAUUGUUUACAAAGUGCCUCCACAGUAUUUAACAUUGUAUAGUAUAAGACCAAAGUUCCUGUAUUUUGAAAAAGAGUAAGGUAUUUAAAGCAGGAGUCCCAAGAAGAAUGGACACUGCGGAUGUUAGCAGGUUUCUCUGUAAGCCCUGAUGUCAUUUUCAGAGUCUUCUGCAGCAAAUUCACCCCAACGGCAGUCCGAAAGCUAAAGCAGGACUUGAAAGUGUUAGCUAGUAUUGGGCCACAGUCUUUCAGAGAUGGAAAAACUGAACAGACUAGACUCCGAAAAACUGCAUAACCAGCCAUACUCCUCUCUGGAAACACAGGUGCCCUGACAGCAGUACAGGAGCAUUUGCAGUGAGGGCGGCUGAGACUGGACUCAUGUCCUCUAGUGGUAACAUAGUAGCAUCACAGCUAUCAGCUGAACAGAAAAUGACACCUGCUUUACAGGAGCAGUCUGACAUGGACAUGAGGUUCCUGAUACCCUAUGAAUUUGAACAUUUUCCCUUGUUUUGUUUUUCUCACACAUUUGCUUUUUUUACUCUUAUUUACAAAGUCUAAACUAAAAAGCAUAAAUUUAAAAAAGACUAAAUCAGUGGGACAAAUCAAUUUAUUUCUCAAACAAACAGUUCUGUUCCAAAUAUACAGAGCAAAAAUAAAAGAUACAAAGUCAGAAUUGCUGUAUACUUUAUGUACAGAGCUUCACAACUAAUAUGUACAUUGAUUAUGCACAGCAAGAAAAAAAAGUGUAACAUCUCUUAUAAAUAAAAUCAGUCACAAUGGAAAUCAUUUAGAUUUAUAUUUCAUUUGUACUGCAUCUGUUAUUAUUAUUAUUAUUAUUACCCCAAGCAUGGAAAGCAAUUCAAUUUAGUACAUUAAGUAAUUUAAGGGGCAUAAUUGCUCUUAUUUUGUUGUAUAGGAUGUUCACACAUAUAAUUUGUCAACUGAUAUAAUAAUACAUUUGUCAAAGCUCA